rnacentral:rRNA from 1 species
GAUGAACGCUGGCGGCGUGCCUAAUACAUGCAAGUCGAGCGAACAGACGAGGAGCUUGCUCCUCUGACGUUAGCGGCGGACGGGUGAGUAACACGUGGAUAACCUACCUAUAAGACUGGGAUAACUUCGGGAAACCGGAGCUAAUACCGUAUAAUAUAUUGAACCGCAUGGUUCAAUAGUGAAAGACGGUUUUGCUGUCACUUAUAGAUGGAUCCGCGCCGCAUUAGCUAGUUGGUAAGGUAACGGCUUACCAAGGCAACGAUGCGUAGCCGACCUGAGAGGGUGAUCGGCAACACUGGAACUGAGACACGGUCCAGACUCCUACGGGAGGCAGCAGUAGGGAAUCUUCCGCAAUGGGCGAAAGCCUGACGGAGCAACGCCGCGGGAGUGAUGAAGGUCUUCGGAUCGUAAAACUCUGUUAUUAGGGAAGAACAAAUGUGUAAGUAACUAUGCACGUCUUGACGGUACCUAAUCAGAAAGCCACGGCUAACUACGUG